AUUGUACUUUCUAGCCAUCAUAGAUAAUAAAGAUUAUCUACGCUAGCCAUAAAUCGAUAGGUUCAAGGUUUUUAGAUUAUAGAAGUAAUAGGAAACAUAGAUUUCUAUACAGUACUAGAUAGAGAACUCUCGCCAUGAAUUUUAAGCUUCAACGUCGGUUGGAAAUUGUAUGGUAUUUCAUAUGACAAAUAAGAUGGUAUUAUGAUUUAUUUUGUAUCGUAUUUUGUAUUAUAUUUUAUUUUAUUUAUAUCUUAAACCGUGGUUAUAGGCCGAUUUUUAACCUGUAUAUCUUAAAUAGCGCUCGAUGGUGGUAUCUUCACUUUUUAUGAUAACAAAAAUUAUCGCAUAUUUCGCAGAUAAUUUUUAUUGUUUAUACGCUUGGAUAGCAAUGACGUCACGCGUGUUAUCACUCAUAUCAGUAUUUCUGUUUUGGAUCCAAACAAAUCACUUUAACCAUAUAAAAUAAUACACUUUUUGUUUGAUGUUUAAUAAAGUUUUUUUAAAAGCCAAUGCUUACUUUUAAGCUACAAUAUAGAAGAACUGAUGAACCAAAAUCAGGCGCUAGGGUUUGUAGUUGUCAUUUUGAAAAUAACAAAAAAGAAAAUGAACCUACAAUUUUGCCUCAUCGUUCUUCAACAAUUUACCUUAAAUCAUUUGACUCCAGAAAAGAAAACGAGAAAAAAUUAUCUAAAUAAAUAAUUCAAAUGGAUGUCAUACCAGUUAAAUAUGAUGAUGAACUAUAGUUGUUAAUGAGUUAAUUACAAAUGAAAGUCCAUUAGAUUUGUCUACUCCUUCAAAAUCAAUUAUUUGUAAUUUUAGCACAGACUCAGUUAAAUCUUCAAACAUAGCUUCAAUUAUUCAUGAAUCUGAGAACUAUUUUCUCAAGGAGGAAAACAAAGCCAUGAAAUUAAACUUAAAACAAUUGAGUCUUUCAUUUAACUAUGAAAACUUAAGUCAAAAUAAUGAAUUAUUACAGUCUUAUACAGGUUUAUAUGUAUUAUGGAAUCAAAGAUAUUAAAGCAGAAAGGAGGCUCAUGUUGUGCUAUUGCUACUUGCAUAAAUAACUACUACAAAUCAAAAAAAUAUGGAAGAUCCAACAUAUAAUUUCACAGAUUUCCAAAAGAUCUUAACUAUCGGAAAGAAUGGGUUUCAGAAAUUCAAAAUAGGUGACCGUUUUAAACCUGAUACAUUAUUUAUUUCAUCUGAUCACUUUAAUGUUGUAUGAGACUUAAAAGCAGACCUUAUAGGUA
rnacentral:lncRNA from 1 species